GGUUAAGCGACUAAGCGUACACGGUGGAUGCCCUGGCAGUCAGAGGCGAUGAAGGACGUGCUAAUCUGCGAAAAGCGUCGGUAAGGUGAUAUGAACCGUUACAGCCGGCGAUGUCCGAAUGGGGAAACCCAGUGCAAUUCGUUGCACUAUCGUUAACUGAAUACAUAGGUUAACGAGGCGAACCGGGGGAACUGAAACAUCUAAGUACCCCGAGGAAAAGAAAUCAACCGAGAUUCCCCCAGUAGCGGCGAGCGAACGGGGAGCAGCCCAGAGUCUGAAUCAGCUUGUGUGUUAGUGGAACGGUCUGGAAAGUCCGACGGUACAGGGUGAUAGUCCCGUACACCAAAAUGCACAGGUUGUGAACUCGAAGAGUAGGGCGGGACACGUGGUAUCCUGUCUGAAUAUGGGGGGACCAUCCUCCAAGGCUAAAUACUCCUGACUGACCGAUAGUGAACCAGUACCGUGAGGGAAAGGCGAAAAGAACCCCGGCGAGGGGAGUGAAAAAGAACCUGAAACCGUGUACGUACAAGCAGUGGGAGCACCUUCGGGUGUGACUGCGUACCUUUUGUAUAAUGGGUCAGCGACUUAUAUUCUGUAGCAAGGUUAACCGUAUAGGGGAGCCGCAGGGAAACCGAGUCUUAACUGGGCGUUAAGUUGCAGGGUAUAGACCCGAAACCCGGUGAUCUAGCCAUGGGCAGGUUGAAGGUUGGGUAACACUAACUGGAGGACCGAACCGACUAAUGUUGAAAAAUUAGCGGAUGACUUGUGGCUGGGGGUGAAAGGCCAAUCAAACCGGGAGAUAGCUGGUUCUCCCCGAAAGCUAUUUAGGUAGCGCCUCGUGAACUCAUCUUCGGGGGUAGAGCACUGUUUCGGCUAGGGGGUCAUCCCGACUUACCAACCCGAUGCAAACUACGAAUACCGAAGAAUGUUAUCACGGGAGACACACGGCGGGUGCUAACGUCCGUCGUGAAGAGGGAAACAACCCAGACCGCCAGCUAAGGUCCCAAAGUCAUGGUUAAGUGGGAAACGAUGUGGGAAGGCACAGACAGCCAGGAUGUUGGCUUAGAAGCAGCCAUCAUUUAAAGAAAGCGUAAUAGCUCACUGGUCGAGUCGGCCUGCGCGGAAGAUGUAACGGGGCUAAACCAUGCACCGAAGCUGCGGCAGCGACACUAUGUGUUGUUGGGUAGGGGAGCGUUCUGUAAGCCUGCGAAGGUGUGCUGUGAGGCAUGCUGGAGGUAUCAGAAGUGCGAAUGCUGACAUAAGUAACGAUAAAGCGGGUGAAAAGCCCGCUCGCCGGAAGACCAAGGGUUCCUGUCCAACGUUAAUCGGGGCAGGGUGAGUCGACCCCUAAGGCGAGGCCGAAAGGCGUAGUCGAUGGGAAACAGGUUAAUAUUCCUGUACUUGGUGUUACUGCGAAGGGGGGACGGAGAAGGCUAUGUUAGCCGGGCGACGGUUGUCCCGGUUUAAGCAUGUAGGCUGGUUAUCCAGGCAAAUCCGGAUAAUCAAGGCUGAGGUGUGAUGACGAGGCACUACGGUGCUGAAGUAACAAAUGCCCUGCUUCCAGGAAAAGCCUCUAAGCAUCAGGUAACAUCAAAUCGUACCCCAAACCGACACAGGUGGUCAGGUAGAGAAUACCAAGGCGCUUGAGAGAACUCGGGUGAAGGAACUAGGCAAAAUGGUGCCGUAACUUCGGGAGAAGGCACGCUGGUGUGUAGGUGAAGUCCCUGCGGAUGGAGCUGAGACCAGUCGAAGAUACCAGCUGGCUGCAACUGUUUAUUAAAAACACAGCACUGUGCAAACACGAAAGUGGACGUAUACGGUGUGACGCCUGCCCGGUGCCGGAAGGUUAAUUGAUGGGGUUAUCCGUAAGGAGAAGCUCUUGAUCGAAGCCCCGGUAAACGGCGGCCGUAACUAUAACGGUCCUAAGGUAGCGAAAUUCCUUGUCGGGUAAGUUCCGACCUGCACGAAUGGCGUAAUGAUGGCCAGGCUGUCUCCACCCGAGACUCAGUGAAAUUGAACUCGCUGUGAAGAUGCAGUGUACCCGCGGCAAGACGGAAAGACCCCGUGAACCUUUACUAUAGCUUGACACUGAACAUUGAGCCUUGAUGUGUAGGAUAGGUGGGAGGCUUUGAAGCGUGGACGCCAGUCUGCGUGGAGCCAACCUUGAAAUACCACCCUUUAAUGUUUGAUGUUCUAACGUUGGCCCCUGACCGGGGUUGCGGACAGUGUCUGGUGGGUAGUUUGACUGGGGCGGUCUCCUCCCAAAGCGUAACGGAGGAGCACGAAGGUUAGCUAAUCCUGGUCGGACAUCAGGAGGUUAGUGCAAUGGCAUAAGCUAGCUUGACUGCGAGCGUGACGGCGCGAGCAGGUGCGAAAGCAGGUCAUAGUGAUCCGGUGGUUCUGAAUGGAAGGGCCAUCGCUCAACGGAUAAAAGGUACUCCGGGGAUAACAGGCUGAUACCGCCCAAGAGUUCAUAUCGACGGCGGUGUUUGGCACCUCGAUGUCGGCUCAUCACAUCCUGGGGCUGAAGUAGGUCCCAAGGGUAUGGCUGUUCGCCAUUUAAAGUGGUACGCGAGCUGGGUUUAGAACGUCGUGAGACAGUUCGGUCCCUAUCUGCCGUGGGCGCUGGAGAAUUGAGGGGGGCUGCUCCUAGUACGAGAGGACCGGAGUGGACGCAUCACUGGUGUUCGGGUUGUCAUGCCAAUGGCACUGCCCGGUAGCUAAAUGCGGAAGAGAUAAGUGCUGAAAGCAUCUAAGCACGAAACUUGCCCCGAGAUGAGUUCUCCCUGAGACUAUAAGUCUCCUGAAGGAACGUUAAAGACGAUGACGUUGAUAGGCCGGGUGUGUAAGCGCAGCGAUGCGUUGAGCUAACCGGUACUAAUGAACCGUGAGGCUUAACCUU
rnacentral:rRNA from 3 species